ensembl:snRNA U6 U6 spliceosomal RNA
GUAUUUGUACCAUGCCCACACUGGGGGCAAUACAUAUCCUAAAACUGAAAUGAUAAAAAGUUUAGCAUGACCUCUGCAUCAGGGUGACACGCAAACUCAUGAUGUGUUCCAUAUUCUU